CAAGCCCUACACAGCCCUCGACAUCCCCAAGGACCUGCGGGUGACCCUCCUCUCUAACGUUCCCAACCCCUACGGGGUCCUGCAGUCCAAAGCUACGGGGGAGCCCCCGCUGUGCAUGUCGUACGCGGUGGUGGGGGCGCUGCGCCAGGCCAUCGCGGCCGCCAGGGCGGACGCCGGCACCCGCGGCUGGUUCGAGAUACCUCUGCCGCUGACGGUCGAGCGCAUCCAGCAGCUCUGCCUCACCGACGCCUCAAAGUUCGAACUCUGAGGCCACAGCCCUGACACUUGCGGUGAUCCUGAGUGAUGUGAAGAUCCUGAGUGAUGUGGAGAUCGUGAGUGAUGUGGAGAUCGUGAGUGAUGUGGAGAUCCUGAGUGAUGUGGAGAUCCUGAGUGAUGUGAAGAUCGUGAGUGAUGUGGAGAUGUGUGGUGUGAAUAUCCUGAGUGAUGUGGAGAUCCUGAGUGAUGUGAAGAUCGUGAGUGAUGUGGAGAUCCUGAGUGAUGUGGAGAUCGUGAGUGAUGUGAAGAUCGUGAGUGAUGUGAAGAUCGUGAGUGGUGUGAAGAUCCUGAGUGAUGUGGAGAUCGUGAGUGAUGUGAAGAUCGUGAGUGAUGUGAAGAUCCUGAGUGAUGUGAAGAUCGUGAGUGAUGUGGAGAUCGUGAGUGAACGAAUCUUGCGACGUCGUAUCACUGUUAUAGCGAGACACGUAAUCAUUAUUUCGUCAGUAACGCGUACGUUUGUGCACAAUUCUGGUAAAAACAACACUGAACUAAGCAAAAAUAACACAAAAUUGAAGGUACAAUAUUGAUUUACUUGAUGCAGGACAUUUAGAUCCACUGAAGCAAUUAUCAUUGACUAAUUCUGUUUUAGUGCCGUUUUAUUGUGUUUAUCGAAUUAAAGCAAGCUUUCUUAUUUUAUAUAUUAUUAAACUAGUAACUGUUAUUGCUUAUGUUAGUGCUUACAUGAGCUAGUGCUCAUCACAAGCCUAGUGCUGCUGAAAUAGACUUAGUAUAUAGUUGAGGGAAGUAGUGUCACUCAAGCAUUGUUGUAACCUGUGGUCUGACAUGCAAUGCAAAAAGUAUAUACGCGAGAUUAUUCCAGCCAUAAACUCGAAGAACCGAGCGAGCCUCUAUCUGAAAAAUAUAACUCAGUACUCACUGCAGUGAGUGACAGAGAGCGC